AGUGCUGAAAGCAUCUAAGCACGAAACUUGCCCCGAGAUGAGUUCUCCCUGACUCCUUGAGAGUCCUGAAGGAACGUUGAAGACGACGACGUUGAUAGGUCGGAUGUGUAAGCGUAGCGAUACGUUGAGCUAACCGAUACUAAUGAACCGUGAGGCUUAACCUUACAACGCCGAAGCUGUU
rnacentral:rRNA from 1 species